rnacentral:rRNA from 1 species
GACGAACGCUGGCGGCGUGCCUAAUACAUGCAAGUGGGACGCAAGGAAACACACUGUGCUUGCACACCGUGUUUUCUUGAGUCGCGAACGGGUGAGUAACGCGUAGGUAACCUGCCUAUUAGCGGGGGAUAACUAUUGGAAACGAUAGCUAAUACCGCAUAAUAUUAAUUAUUGCAUGAUAAUUGAUUGAAAGAUGCAAGCGCAUCACUAGUAGAUGGACCUGCGUUGUAUUAGCUAGUUGGUAAGGUAAGAGCUUACCAAGGCGACGAUACAUAGCCGACCUGAGAGGGUGAUCGGCCACACUGGGACUGAGACACGGCCCAGACUCCUACGGGAGGCAGCAGUAGGGAAUCUUCGGCAAUGGACGAAAGUCUGACCGAGCAACGCCGCGUGAGUGAAGAAGGUUUUCGGAUCGUAAAGCUCUGUUGUAAGUCAAGAACGUGUGUGAGAGUGGAAAGUUCACACAGGGACGGUAGCUUACCAGAAAGGGACGGCUAACUACGU